AUCCAGCUGACAAGUCCCGAAUAGGACGAAGCGCGCAUCCUGGAU
rnacentral:hammerhead_ribozyme from 1 species